rnacentral:rRNA from 1 species
GGAAUAUUGGACAAUGGGAGCAAUCCUGAUCCAGCAAUCCCGCGUGGGUGACGAAGGCCUUCGGGUCGUAAAGCCCUUUCAGCAGGGGUAAAGGGAAACUUGAUAGUACCUGCAGAAGAAGCACCGGCUAACUCCGUGCCAGCAGCCGCGGUAAUACGGAGGGUGCAAGCGUUGUUCGGAAUCAUUGGGCGUAAAGCGCGUGUAGGCGGCCCUCUAAGUCUGAUGUGAAAGCCCGGGGCUUAACUCCGGAAGUGCAUUGGAUACUGGAGGGCUAGAGGACGAGAGAGGGAAGUGGAAUUCCUGGUGUAGGGGUGAAAUCCGUAGAAAUCAGGAGGAACAUCUGUGGCGAAGGCGGCUUCCUGGCUCGUUUCUGACGCUGAGACGCGAAAGCGUGGGGAGCA